UACGUAGGGUGCAAGCGUUGUCCGGAAUUAUUGGGCGUAAAGAGCUCGUAGGCGGUCUGUCGCGUCGGCUGGGAAAACCCGGAGCUCAACUCCGGGCCUGCAGUCGAUACGGGCAGACUAGAGUACUGCAGGGGAGACUGGAAUUCCUGGUGUAGCGGUGGAAUGCGCAGAUAUCAGGAGGAACACCGGUGGCGAAGGCGGGUCUCUGGGCAGUAACUGACGCUGAGGAGCGAAAGCGUGGGGAGCGAACAGG
rnacentral:rRNA from 1 species